ACUCGAAUGGCGAACGGGUGAGUAACACGUGGGUGAUCUGCCCUGCACUUCGGGAUAAGCUUGGGAAACUGGGUCUAAUACCGGAUAGGAGCCAUCUUUAGUGUGGUGGUUGGAAAGUUUUUCGGUGUAGGAUGAGCUCGCGGCCUAUCAGCUUGUUGGUGGGGUAAUGGCCUACCAAGGCGGCGACGGGUAGCCGGCCUGAGAGGGUGUACGGCCACAUUGGGACUGAGAUACGGCCCAG
rnacentral:rRNA from 1 species